GCUUGUCUCAAAGAUUAAGCCAUGCAUGUCUUAGUGUAAAUAACUCUUAUGAAACUGCGAAUGGCUCAUUAAAUCAGUUAUCGUUUAUUUGAUGGUCCCUUACUACAUGGAUAACCGUGGUAAUUCUAGAGCUAAUACAUGCUGGUUAGCCUGACUUCGAGGAAGGGCUGUAUUUAUUAGAUAACAAACCAAUAUUCUUCGUGUCUAUUGUGAUGACUCAUAAUAACUGAUCGAAUCGCAUGGUCCUUGACCGCGAUAAAUCAUUCAAGUUUCUGCCCCAUCAGCUUUCGAUGGUAGUGUAUUGGACUACCAUGGCUUUAACGGGUAACGGAGGAUUAGGGUUCGAUUCCGGAGAGGGAGCCUGAGAAACGGCUACCACAUCUAAGGAAGGCAGCAGG
rnacentral:rRNA from 1 species